rnacentral:lncRNA from 1 species
CAUUUUGUAAUUUAUGUGUGCUACUGCAUUAUGUGUGCUGGCGCUUGGGUACUUUAACUGUGCUUUUAUUGCAUGUGUAAAAUUUUGGAAAUGUCUGUUUUUCUGGGAAAGACUCUGUCGAAAUUUCGGUAGAAGUCUUGACCCUUUUAAGUUAGAAAGUGGGCCCGAUAUCCUUUGGGUGUUGAAAGGAAAGCAUGAUUUGGCACGACUUCCAAGGGAAAUUCGAGUCGAGUCCAGUACC